rnacentral:rRNA from 1 species
UACGUAGGGUGCGAGCGUUGUCCGGAAUUAUUGGGCGUAAAGAGCUCGUAGGCGGUGUGUCACGUCGAUCGUGAAAACUUACAGCUUAACUGUGAGCGUGCGGUCGAUACGGGCAUCACUGGAGUUCGGCAGGGGAGACUGGAAUUCCUGGUGUAGCGGUGAAAUGCGCAGAUAUCAGGAGGAACACCGGUGGCGAAGGCGGGUCUCUGGGCCGAUACUGACGCUGAGGAGCGAAAGCGUGGGUAGCAAACAGG